AGACUCCGAGCAACCGCCAGCGACAAGCGAAAUCCGGUGCGAAUCCGGUACUGUGCCGCAACUGUGAUGGCCCGGUCGGGUCGAGUCAGGUCGCCUUGCGCUGGCGCAGAUGUCCGCCACCCCCGGUGCAGGGGUGCGGCGU
rnacentral:sRNA from 1 species